rnacentral:tRNA from 1 species
GGGCCAUAGUUCAGUGGCAGAUCAUUUGCUUGGCAUACAUGGAGUCCCAGGUUCAAUUCCUGACAUCUCCA